rnacentral:rRNA from 1 species
AGCUCCAAUAGCGUAUAUUAAUGUUGCUGCGGUUAAAAAGCUCGUAGUUGGAUUUCAGUUACGGACAGGCGGUUCGUCUUUGCGAUGCAACUGUUUGCGCCGGACCUAUUGCUGGCUCCUCCAUUAUGCUCUUUAUUGAGUGUCUUGGAAGACCAGUGCGUUUACUUUGAAAAAAUUAGAGUGUUCAAAGCAGGCUUUUCAAGCCCGGAUACAUGAGCAUGGAAUAAUGGAAUAGGACCGCGGUUCUAUUUUGUUGGUUUCUACGACCGCAGUAAUGAUUAAGAGGGACAAUUGGGGGCGUCCGUAUUUCGUUGUCAGAGGUGAAAUUCUUGGAUUUACGAAAGACGAACAACUGCGAAAGCAUUCGCCAAGAGUGUUUUCAUUAAUCAAGAACGAAAGU